AGGGGGACAACAGUUGGAAACGACUGCUAAUACCGCAUGACACAUUCGGGCGGCAUCGCCUGGAUGUCAAAGAUUUUAUCGCUGAGAGAUGGCCUCGCGUCUGAUUAGCUAGUUGGUGAGGUAACGGCCCACCAAGGCGACGAUCAGUAGCCGGACUGAGAGGUUGACCGGCCACAUUGGGACUGAGAUACGGCCCAGACUCCUACGGGAGGCAGCAGUGGGGAAUAUUGGGCAAUGGACGCAAGUCUGACCCAGCAACGCCGCGUGAAGGAAGAAGGCUUUCGGGUUGUAAACUUCUUUUGUCAGGGAAGAGCAGAAGACGGUACCUGACGAAUAAGCCACGGCUAACUACGUGCCAGCAGCCGCGGUAAUACGUAGGUGGCAAGCGUUGUCCGGAUUUACUGGGUGUAAAGGGCGUGCAGCCGGGCCGGCAAGUCAGAUGUGAAAUCCACGGGCUUAACCCGUGAACUGCAUUUGAAACUGUUGGUCUUGAGUAUCGGAGAGGUAAUCGGAAUUCCUUGUGUAGCGGUGAAAUGCGUAGACUAUAAGGAAGAACACCAGUGGCGAAGGCGGAU
rnacentral:rRNA from 1 species